AACGAACGCUGGCGGCAGGCCUAACACAUGCAAGUCGAGCGCGCCUUCGGGUGAGCGGCGGACGGGUGAGUAACGCGUGGGAAUAUGCCCUUCUCUACGGAAUAAUCCUGGGAAACUGGGGGUAAUACCGUAUACGCCCUUUGGGGGAAAGAUUUAUCGGGGAAGGAUUAGCCCGCGUUGGAUUAGGUAGUUGGUGGGGUAAUGGCCUACCAAGCCGACGAUCCAUAGCUGGUUUGAGAGGAUGAUCAGCCACACUGGGACUGAGACACGGCCCAGACUCCUACGGGAGGCAGCAGUGGGGAAUCUUAGACAAUGGGGGCAACCCUGAUCUAGCCAUGCCGCGUGAGUGAUGAAGGCCUUAGGGUUGUAAAGCUCUUUCAGCUGGGAAGAUAAUGACGGUACCAGCAGAAGAAGCCCCGGCUAACUCCGUG
rnacentral:rRNA from 1 species